ACAACGAAGAGUUUGAUCCUGGCUCAGGAUGAACGCUAGCGACAGGCUUAACACAUGCAAGUCGAGGGGCAGCACAGGUAGCAAUACCGGGUGGCGACCGGCGCACGGGUGAGUAACGCGUAUGCAACUUACCUAUCAGAGGGGGAUAACCCGGCGAAAGUCGGACUAAUACCGCAUGAAGCAGGGGCCCCGCAUGGGGAUAUUUGCUAAAGAUUCAUCGCUGAUAGAUAGGCAUGCGUUCCAUUAGGCAGUUGGCGGGGUAACGGCCCACCAAGCCGACGAUGGAUAGGGGUUCUGAGAGGAAGGUCCCCCACAUUGGUACUGAGACACGGACCAAACUCCUACGGGAGGCAGCAGUGAGGAAUAUUGGUCAAUGGCCGAGAGGCUGAACCAGCCAAGUCGCGUGAGGGAUGAAGGUUCUAUGGAUCGUAAACCUCUUUUAUAAGGGAAUAAAGUGCGGGACGUGUCCCGUUUUGUAUGUACCUUAUGAAUAAGGAUCGGCUAACUCCGUGCCAGCAGCCGCGGUAAUACGGAGGAUCCGAGCGUUAUCCGGAUUUAUUGGGUUUAAAGGGUGCGUAGGCGGCCUUUUAAGUCAGCGGUGAAAGUCUGUGGCUCAACCAUAGAAUUGCCGUUGAAACUGGGGGGCUUGAGUAUGUUUGAGGCAGGCGGAAUGCGUGGUGUAGCGGUGAAAUGCAUAGAUAUCACGCAGAACCCCGAUUGCGAAGGCAGCCUGCCAAGCCAUGACUGACGCUGAUGCACGAAAGCGUGGGGAUCAAACAGGAUUAGAUACCCUGGUAGUCCACGCAGUAAACGAUGAUCACUAGCUGUUUGCGAUACACUGUAAGCGGCACAGCGAAAGCGUUAAGUGAUCCACCUGGGGAGUACGCCGGCAACGGUGAAACUCAAAGGAAUUGACGGGGGCCCGCACAAGCGGAGGAACAUGUGGUUUAAUUCGAUGAUACGCGAGGAACCUUACCCGGGUUUGAACGCAUUCGGACCGAGGUGGAAACACCUUUUCUAGCAAUAGCCGUUUGCGAGGUGCUGCAUGGUUGUCGUCAGCUCGUGCCGUGAGGUGUCGGCUUAAGUGCCAUAACGAGCGCAACCCUUGCCACUAGUUACUAACAGGUAAAGCUGAGGACUCUGGUGGGACUGCCAGCGUAAGCUGCGAGGAAGGCGGGGAUGACGUCAAAUCAGCACGGCCCUUACAUCCGGGGCGACACACGUGUUACAAUGGCGUGGACAAAGGGAGGCCACCUGGCGACAGGGAGCGAAUCCCCAAACCACGUCUCAGUUCGGAUCGGAGUCUGCAACCCGACUCCGUGAAGCUGGAUUCGCUAGUAAUCGCGCAUCAGCCAUGGCGCGGUGAAUACGUUCCCGGGCCUUGUACACACCGCCCGUCAAGCCAUGGGAGCCGGGGGUACCUGAAGUCCGUAACCGCGAGGAUCGGCCUAGGGUAAAACUGGUGACUGGGGCUAAGUCGUAACAAGGUAGCCGUACCGGAAGGUGCGGCUGGAACACCUCCUUU
rnacentral:rRNA from 1 species